AGAAUGGCCGGGGCGGGGGCGGCCUGGCGGGUCCCUUUUCGGCGGGCGGCGGAGGCGCGAUCGCAGCGCUCCGCGGGCCGGGGGCGGCUGCGGAGGCGGCUCCGCAGCGUGUUCAGCGUUGCGAGCAGAUAGCUCUGCGUUAGUGCCCGUGGCUCUUUCUUCCAUGGAAACGGAUGGAGCGGCGCUGAGCAGUGAACGCAGCGAUGGCCAGGGGAACGGCGAGCGCGAGGAGCGCGCGGGCUGGAUCCUUCCGAUGGCACAGGGUACUCAGAAAAUAUGUCUCCCUUAGAGUCCCACAAAAACAUUCUCAGUGAAAUCUAUAUUAAGUGCUAUGAGUCUUGAUAAAUUUGAGAAGAGCCCAAGAGAAAUUUUUCAUCCUGAGAUACAAAAGUAUUUGCUGGAGCUCUGCUUACCCAAGCUUUGGGUAAAACAAGCUUUGGGUUCCUUCUGUCUCACCGGGAGUUGCCCAGUUUGGUUGCAUCUGGUGAAAUUCACCCUGAGACCUGACAGAGCUGGCUCAGACUACGUGAGAGCCAUUUGCGGUUCUCUCCAGACACCUGGAGAAUGGGGAAAGACUCUCGUGUCCUGGUCGUCAGGCUCAGUGCUGCCCGAAAAGAUACAGAGACUAAAAAAAUCCUAAGAAGCAAAUAUGACUGCAGAGAAAACAAACUGGAGAGAACAAAAGAAGUCGAUGUAAUCCUAUUGAGGAGUUUUUAAUUCUGUGUUGCCAAGUCAUCCAUCAGAGCCCUGUUGUACUAAUCAUCCUACAAAUACAAAACAAAAAAUCAGACCCUGUCCCAGCCGCUUGGAGCCUGGAACAUUGUUUCCUCGGGCUGCCAUUGGUGUGCCGUCAGUACUCACCACGGAAGCGAGCUGAGGAUUGCUGCAGCUGUUGGGAACAAACAGCUUCUCGUCACAAAGAAAUAGAAUUGGGACGACAGCUCGGUCAGCGCCUCCCUGCUCUCGUCUCCUGAAUCUCCAGCAGAGGAGUUCCAGUCCAUCCGGGUACGUGUCAUCCAGUUCCUGGUGAUCUGAACACACCGAGCAGCACUCAGCUGCUGUGGGGGGCUCAGGGAAGGCAGAGUGUGCGUUCUCAUCUUCCUGAACCUACAGACAAAUCAAAGUGAGAAGCCACAGGGUGGAAAUCAGUCGCAUAGAUGCUAAAUAAAACUUGCAGAUGUUUUUAAGAAUUGUUUCUGCUUGUUCUUUGUUGUGCUUCUGUGCUUAGAAAACAUCCCUUUAAAAUCAGUACAAUUCAUCAGUUGAAAGUUUUUU